rnacentral:rRNA from 1 species
AAAUUGAAGAGUUUGAUCAUGGCUCAGAUUGAACGCUGGCGGCAGGCCUAACACAUGCAAGUCGAGCGGAAACGAGUUAUCUGAACCUUCGGGGAACGAUAACGGCGUCGAGCGGCGGACGGGUGAGUAAUGCCUAGGAAAUUGCCCUGAUGUGGGGGAUAACCAUUGGAAACGAUGGCUAAUACCGCAUGAUGCCUACGGGCCAAAGAGGGGGACCUUCGGGCCUCUCGC